CCAACGGGGGGCAGCAGUGGGGAAUAUUGCACAAUGGGCGCAAGCCUGAUGCAGCCAUGCCGCGUGUGUGAAGAAGGCCUUCGGGUUGUAAAGCACUUUCAGCGAGGAGGAAGGCAGUCGUGUUAAUAGCACGAUUGAUUGACGUUACUCGCAGAAGAAGCACCGGCUAACUCCGUGCCAGCAGCCGCGGUAAUACGGAGGGUGCAAGCGUUAAUCGGAAUUACUGGGCGUAAAGCGCACGCAGGCGGGUUGUUAAGUCAGAUGGGAAAUCCCCGCGCUUAACGUGGGAACUGCAUUUGAAACUGGCAAGCUAGAGUCUUGUAGAGGGGGGUAGAAUUCCAGGUGUAGCGGUGAAAUGCGUAGAGAUCUGGAGGAAUACCGGUGGCGAAGGCGGCCCCCUGGACAAAGACUGACGCUCAGGUGCGAAAGCGUGGGGAGCAAACA
rnacentral:rRNA from 1 species